rnacentral:rRNA from 2 species
CACGUAGGGGGCGAGCGUUGUCCGGAUUUAUUGGGCGUAAAGAGCUCGUAGGCGGCUCGGUAAGUCAGGUGUGAAACCUCCAGGCUCAACCUGGAGACGCCACCUGAUACUGCCGUGGCUAGAGUCCGGUAGAGGAGCGUAGAAUUCCUGGUGUAGCGGUGAAAUGCGCAGAUAUCAGGAGGAAUACCAGCGGCGAAGGCGGCGCUCUGGGCCGGUACUGACGCUGAGGAGCGAAAGCGUGGGGAGCAAACAGG